rnacentral:rRNA from 1 species
CCCUGUCCUCCUAUUUUCAGUUGGUUUUGGCAGCGCGAGGACUAGGGUAAUGAUUAAUAGGGAUAGUUGGGGGCAUUAAUAUUUAAUUGUCAGAGGUGAAAUUCUUGGAUUUAUGAAAGAUUAACUUCUGCGAAAGCAUCUGCCAAGGAUGUUUUCAUUAAUCAAGAACGAAAGUUAGGGGAUCGAAGACGAUCAGAUACCGUCGUAGUCUUAACCAUAAACGAUGCCGACCAGCGAUUAGGAGACGUUGAAUACAAAACACCACCAUCGGCGCGGUCGUCCUUGGCGUCUCUGUCCCUUUCAACG